GAGUUUGAUCAUGGCUCAGAUUGAACGCUGGCGGCAUGCUUUACACAUGCAAGUCGAACGGUAACAGGGAGCUUGCUCCGCUGACGAGUGGCGAACGGGUGAGUAAUGCGUCGGAACGUGCCGAGUAGUGGGGGAUAACGCAUCGAAAGGUGUGCUAAUACCGCAUACGAACUGAGGUUGAAAGUGGGGGACCUUCGGGCCUCACGCUAUUCGAGCGGCCGACGUCUGAUUAGCUAGUAGGUGAGGUAAAGGCUCACCUAGGCGACGAUCAGUAGCGGGUCUGAGAGGAUGAUCCGCCACACUGGGACUGAGACACGGCCCAGACUCCUACGGGAGGCAGCAGUGGGGAAUUUUGGACAAUGGGCGCAAGCCUGAUCCAGCCAUGCCGCGUGCCUGAAGAAGGCCUUCGGGUUGUAAAGGACUUUUGUCUGGGAGCA
rnacentral:rRNA from 1 species